rnacentral:rRNA from 1 species
AUGGUCCAACUACAGAACUUCUUCUUUUUCAUUACUUCCAUGGUCGUGCCCCGUGGCAUGGCAGCACCCGUACUAUUGAAAUGGUUCGUCAGUAGAGAUGUUCCCACUGGUGCCUCUUCUUCCAAUGGUACUAUAAUUCCUAUUCCUAUCCCUUUAUUCCCUUUUUUGGUCUAUCUACAUUUAAGGAAAUUCAUACGCUCCAUGGACAGAGCAAAAAGUGGAGUGUUGGUCAAAGCAAGCCGCCCUAUUCUAUUACCAGACAAAAUGGAGAGAAGCUCAUCCGCUAGAAAUGCUUUAUUUCGUUUCAUUCCCGUUCUUCAUUUCCUUAUUAUCGAAUCCAUGGGGGACUUGUCAUAUUUAGAAUCUUUCUGCGGUCUGCUCUAUUUACAAUUCUUUCGUACUCUCUUCUCUUUACCACGCGAUAGGUCAGCGAAGCGUGAGCGGGCGCUCCGAAGUAAAGGCCAAACACUUCGGCCUAAGGGGAAUGAGCAACAAAAUGACAAGAUGAGGUGCCCCGGGCACCCCCAUAUAGAAAGAAGGGUCGAAGGUUUUGGGCCUGUAGCUUUCCCCCCCCCCUCGUCGAGUGGUGCUUGUUUGGGGGGUGUGCCACCAGAAAGCGGGCUUGAAGCUCUCGCCUUACCAACGAGCUGACUGCUGAUGGCUGUUGGUCACGACUACUACAAAAAAGUGAAGAUGAAUCUUUCUAUUUCACAUGGAGGAGUGUGCAUCUUUAUGUUGGGUGUUCUUCUGUCGUGCGACCCGAUGGCUUAUGUGCGACCUGUGGCCCACGCCUCCUAUUCUAUUUGUUCAGGGCGGGCGGCGUGA